CAGUAGCCGCGGUAAUACGAAGGGUGCAAGCGUUAAUCGGAAUUACUGGGCGUAAAGCGUGCGUAGGCGGUGAGUUAAGUCUGCUGUGAAAUCCCCGGGCUCAACCUGGGAACUGCAUUUGUGACUGGCAAGCUAGAGUGUGGCAGAGGGGGGUGGAAUUCCGCGUGUAGCAGUGAAAUGCGUAGAUAUGCGGAGGAACACCGAUGGCGAAGGCAGCCCCCUGGGCCAACACUGACGCUCAUACACGAAAGCGUGGGGAGCAAACAGGAUUAGAUACCCCCGUAGUCCCUGUCUCUUAUAC
rnacentral:rRNA from 1 species